CCUACGGGUGGCAGCAGUGAGGAAUAUUGGUCAAUGGACGAGAGUCUGAACCAGCCAAGUAGCGUGAAGGAUGACUGCCCUAUGGGUUGUAAACUUCUUUUAUAUGGGAAUAAACUGUUCCACGUGUGGGAUUUUGUAUGUACCAUAUGAAUAAGGAUCGGCUAACUCCGUGCCAGCAGCCGCGGUAAUACGGAGGAUCCGAGCGUUAUCCGGAUUUAUUGGGUUUAAAGGUAGCGUAGGUGGAUGGUUAAGUCAGUUGUGAAAGUUUGCGGAUCAACCGUAAAAUUGCAGUUGAAACUGGCAGUCUGGAGUACAGUAGAGGUGGGCGGAAUUCGUGGUGUAGCGGUGAAAUGCUUAGAUAUCACGAAGAACUCCGAUUGCGAAGGCAGCUCACUGGACUGCAACUGACACUGAGGCUCGAAAGUGUGGGUAUCAAACAGGAUUAGAUACCCCUGUAGUC
rnacentral:rRNA from 1 species